GGUUAAGCUAGUAAGAGCACACGGAGGAUGCCUAGGCGCCAGGAGCCGACGAAGGACGUGGCGAACGACGAUAUAGCCUCGGGGAGCUGUAAGCAAGCAUCGAUCCGGGGAUGUCCGAAUGGGGAAACCCGGCUGUCAUAAUAGGCAGUCACUCGCACCUGAAUCUAUAGGGUGUGAAGAGGCAUACGAGGGGAACUGAAACAUCUAAGUACCCUCAGGAAGAGAAAACAAUAGUGAUUCCGUCAGUAGCGGCGAGCGAACGCGGAAGAGCCUAAACCGGAGAGCUUGCUCUCCGGGGUUGUGGGACGUCUCACAUGGAGUCAGGAAGGUGUUUAUUAGACGAAGAGUCCUGGAAAGACUCGCCGUAGAAGGUAAUAGCCCUGUACUCGAAAGUAAAUGCCCUCCGAGACGGAUCCCGAGUACCGCGGGACACGUGAAACCCCGUGGGAAUCCGGCAGGACCAUCUGCUAAGGCUAAAUACUCCCUGGCGACCGAUAGUGAAGCAGUACCGUGAGGGAAAGG
rnacentral:rRNA from 1 species